AGGUGGUUCAGUUGACACUAGCACUCUUUAGCCGUAUUGCUUCUGUUUGUUAGAUCGUUGUUGCCAGUUAGAUUUCCAAAAUUAAUUGGGUUUUAUGGACUAAUUGUUAUGCAUAGGGUAAAUUUUGUCUCCUAAUGACAGGAGUGGCUUUUCUGAAAGUGGUAGAGAAUUGGGGUUGAUGUUGAACAAAUCUGUUAAACAGUUAUUGCGUCACCAAAAUUUUCCCAAGUUGUACUACUGUGCAUAAAACCACAUAGCUGUAGCAUUUGUUAUUUUAAUUUAUAGUGUAUUCU
rnacentral:lncRNA from 1 species